rnacentral:lncRNA from 1 species
GUGCUUUUUCGCGCCGCUACGGAAAGCUAUCCGGUAUAUAGUGUAAAUGUAGCCCAAAACUCGAGGGUACGAGUACAGUAUACCUAUAGCAAACACGAUUUACGGUAAAAUCAGAAUACAAAUAUUUUGAAUGAACUUUUAAUAUAUUUCUUACAUUCUAAUGGCUAAAACUAUAUUAACAAAAAUACACUUAACUACGUUGUCUAUACCUACACGUUUACUAUGAAAUAACUACAAUACCUCCUAGUGCAAUAUUAUUUAUUAAACCAUCUAGUAUAUAUAUGUACAGUUAGCAUGCUUCACCACAAAGCACAGUCAGAGGCUGUUUAUAGGAUUUUUGGUACUAGUGAUUGGGGAGGGCUCACUACAAGCACCUCCCCGGUCAAACGACGAUGAGAGUUGAUGAGAGUUGCAACUCUUGCUCGCGUUUGACCGACAAUUAGCCAUUCCGAAGUUGAUGAGUGGACUGGGGACGAGUGUUAAAAAGUGCCCAAAUUAAAAAAUGAACAGGGAUCACUAAAAAGACCACCUCAAAAUUAGUAAGUAUACGAAGUUUGAAAA